GGUCCUAUGGUGUAAUGGUUAGCAUUCUGAGCUUUCAAUCCUGUGAGCUGAGUUCAAAGCUCAGUGGAACCU